UACGGCUCAGUAACACGCGAAUAAUCUGACCUUGGGUGGAGAAUAACCUCGGGAAACUGAGACUAAUGCUCCAUAGCUCACCCGUGCUGGAACGCUAGGUGGGUCAAAGCUCCGGCGCCCAAGGAUGAGUUUGCGGCCUAUCAGGUUGUAGUGGGUGUAACGGACCCACUAGCCGAUGACGGGUACGGGCCAUGAGAGUGGUUGCCCGGAGAUGGAUUCUGAGACACGAAUCCAGGUCCUACGGGGCGCAGCAGCCGCGAAAACUUCGCAAUGUGGGAAACCACGACGAGGGAAUCCUCAGUGCUCAUGCUAUGCAUGAGCUGUUUCUCUGUCUAAAACGCAGGGAGAGUAAGGGCUGGGUAAGACGGGUGCCAGCCGCCGCGGUAAUACCCGCAGCCCGAGUGGUGCUCGUUAUUAUUGGGCCUAAAACGUCCGUAGCCGGCCCCGUAAAUCUAUGUGGAAAUCGGAGGGCCCAACCUUCCGAAGAGCGUGGACACUGCGGGGCUUGGGACUGGGUGAGGUCGGAGGUACUCCUGGGGUAGGGGUGAAAUCCUGUAAUCCUGGGAGGACCACCAGUGGCGAAGGCGUCCGACUAGAACGGAUCCGACGGUCAGGGACGAAGCCCUGGGGCGCAAACGGGAUUAGAUACCCCGGUAGUCCAGGGUGUAAACGCUGUGGUCUUGGUGUUGGGAGUCCUACGAGGGCUCCCAGUGCCGGAGAGAAGUUGUUAAGACUACUGCCUGGGGAGUACGGUCGCAAGACUGAAACUUAAAGGAAUUGGCGGA
rnacentral:rRNA from 1 species